rnacentral:rRNA from 1 species
UACGUAGGGGGCAAGCGUUGUCCGGAUUUAUUGGGCGUAAAGAGCGUGUAGGCGGCCUGACAGGUCUGCUGUGAAAACUCGAGGCUCAACCUCGAGAUGUCGGCGGAAACCGUCUGGCUAGAGUCCGGAAGAGGAGAGUGGAAUUCCUGGUGUAGCGGUGAAAUGCGCAGAUAUCAGGAAGAACACCUAUGGCGAAGGCGGCUCUCUGGUACGUGACUGACGCUGAGACGCGAAAGCGUGGGGAGCAAACAGG